GAGGCGCCAUAAACAUCUAUACGAGUGACUCUCUGAUUCGAUUCACUUAACCAUUCAAAUGAGUCAUUUGUUUGUGAAUCAAACUGAGCACGCUGUUGUAGCAUUACACCUGCUAAGACAAUUCAAUAUGUGCAAUCUGAAUUUAAUAAUAAUAUUUAUUUUGUGGUAACACUGCCGUGUGGGAAGCUCUGACAGAGAAAAACACUAUAGACACGUAAGAGAGAGCUGUAAAAUGUAAGUGCAUCAUCUUUUGUUCUUCAAUAGAGGCCUAAUCUGUCUGCUGCACUUGAGCAGGUUCAGUUUUUAGAGUGAAUGAAAACUUUUGAAGCAUAGAUAUGCCGUGUGAUGUGAUUUAAAAUCAUACUUAGUUUACUGUGGUGGGGAUUAUUAUGAGCAAACAAAUUUAUAUAUAGUGUUCAGAUUAAAUUUUUAUGUAAUCUGACAUUUUUUUUAUUUUAUUUUUUUUACAGAAAUUCUGAGCUGCUGCAUGAACAUUCAUCAAACUUAUAAGGCUGCAAUUUGGAAAAAACUUUCAAGCCAAUGCUGCUGAAAUAGAGGUCAAGGGGACUGAAGAGGUGGCUCCAGCUGAUCAAAAGGGUGGACUUCAGGAGGCAGACACACUCUGUUACAGUAAUCAGCUGAUCCAGCCGUAUCCAGACCAGACGGUGGACCUGCACCCAGGAACGACCACAACACAUCCCUGACUGUCAGCGGAGACCGUGUCAGCUGGAUGACAGAUCCUCUGUGAAGACCUCAUUGAUGGCCCCAGCACAGAUCCUCAGCAAAGACUACGAGAAUCAGACAAGCCCUCUGCACAGACCCUUUUUACCAGCUUCACCUGCUAGCGUGAUAUUACUUCAUGCAGAAGAAGUUGGAUGAAAUAUUCUGAAUGAUAUCAAUCCACAAUCUGACUUGUGAUGCAGCCUGGAAUAA